rnacentral:rRNA from 1 species
AACCUCCGCAAUGUGAGAAAUCGCGACGGGGGGAUCCCAAGUGCCAUUCUUAACGGGAUGGCUUUUCAUUAGUGUAAAGAGCUUUUGGAAUAAGGGCUGGGCAAGACCGGUGCCAGCCGCCGCGGUAACACCGGCAGCUCUAGUGGUAGCAGUUUUUAUUGGGCCUAAAGCGUCCGUAGCCGGUUUAAUAAGUCUCUGGUGAAAUCCUGUAGCUUAACUGUGGGAAUUGCUGGAGAUACUAUUAGACUUGAGACCGGGAGAGGUUAGAGGUACUCCCAGGGUAGAGGUGAAAUUCUGUAAUCCUGGGAGGACCGCCUGUUGCGAAGGCGUCUAACUGGAACGGUUCUGACGGUGAGGGACGAAAGUUAGGGCGCGAACCGGAUUAGAUACCCGGGUAGUCCUAACCGUAAACGAUGCGGACUUGGUGUUGGGGUGGCUUUGAGCUGCUCCAGUGCCGAAGGGAAGCUGUUAAGUCCGCCGCCUGGGAAGUACGGUCGCAAGACUGAAACUUAAAGGAAUU